AACGAACGCUGGCGGCAAGCUUACACAUGCAAGUCGAACGCCCCGCAAGGGGAGUGGCAGACGGGUGAGUAACACGUGGGAACAUACCCUUUGGUUCGGAAUAACUCAGGGAAACUUGAGCUAAUACCGGAUAAGCGCGAGAGCGGAAAGAUUUAUCGCCGAAGGAUUGGCCCGCGUCCGAUUAGCUAGUUGGUGAGGUAAUGGCUCACCAAGGCGACGAUCGGUAGCUGGUCUGAGAGGAUGAUCAGCCACACUGGGACUGAGACACGGCCCAGACUCCUACGGGAGGCAGCAGUGGGGAAUAUUGGACAAUGGGCGCAAGCCUGAUCCAGCCAUGCCGCGUGAGUGAUGAAGGCCCUAGGGUUGUAAAGCUCUUUCGCCAGGGACGAUAAUGACGGUACCUGGAUAAGAAGCCCCGGCUAACUUCGUGCCAGCAGCCGCGGUAAUACGAAGGGGGCUAGCGUUGUUCGGAUUUACUGGGCGUAAAGCGCACGUAGGCGGAUCUUUAAGUCAGAGGUGAAAUCCCAAGGCUCAACCUUGGAACUGCCUUUGAUACUGGGGAUCUCGAGUCCGGGAGAGGUGAGUGGAACUGCGAGUGUAGAGGUGAAAUUCGUAGAUAUUCGCAAGAACACCAGUGGCGAAGGCG
rnacentral:rRNA from 1 species